rnacentral:tRNA from 1 species
GGAUCCAUAAGCUCUGAAUGGUAAGAGCGCUCACUAAAUGAAAGGUUGAUGGUUCAAAUCCAUCUAGAUCCA